rnacentral:lncRNA from 1 species
AAUAUUUCGUUAACUUCCAACCAACAACUUCUCAACUAUUUUUCUUCUCUUUUAUCUUUCUAUUUUUUUUCUUUUUCAAAUCAGGAGGAAUAUGUAAUGACAUCCUUCUUUUUUUUUCUUUUUCUUUUUCAAUUUUUUUCUUUUUCAAUUUGUUUUUUUUUUGAAUAAAAUAUAACAACUAUAGUUAUUCAACCCCACACAACUCCAAACAAGACUCUUUCAAUCCUAUGACAG